rnacentral:lncRNA from 1 species
CGAAGAUAGGUACCGCCGCCGCCUCCCUCCGUCAGUCGUGCACAUCAGUCUCUCUCCCUCGACUGAUCACGCUUCUCAGAUCGAAACCAUCACCUCACUCCAUCCGAGUCGUCUUCCUCCUUGGAAACGGCGAGAUCGCCGCUCCCUCCCUCUCUACUCUGCUCUCCCUCCGUCCGUGGCCGAGCGACAGCGGCAGGGCCGCCGCGCCCUAGCCUCCCUCGGUGAAAACUCAGCCCAGACCAGUCACCCAUCCCCCUACUCUCUACUCACUCCGGCCGACAGCAGUUGAUGGAGCAGACUGCCGCCGCCGUUCCGCCCUCGACAAAACCCAGCCCCGACCCGGCUCAGAGCGGCAACAAGGCCCUUGCCUCGCCGCCUCUCCCUCAAAACUCCAGCCGACAGCAGCAGGAGAACCACCGCCGCCGACCGCAUCUGCCUCCCUCCACUUUCGACUCAAAUCAACAGCAAACGUUCAAACAACGACAAGCACAAACAAAGCUCAAGACUCAUUCUUUCUUCUUUU